GAUGAACGCUGGCGGCGUGCCUAAUACAUGCAAGUCGAGCGAACAGACGAGGAGCUUGCUCCUCUAACGUUAGCGGCGGACGGGUGAGUAACACGUGGAUAACCUACCUAUAAGACUGGGAUAACUUCGGGAAACCGGAGCUAAUACCGGAUAAUAUAUUGAACCGCAUGGUUCAAUAGUGAAAGACGGUUUUGCUGUCACUUAUAGAUGGAUCCGCGCCGCAUUAGCUAGUUGGUAAGGUAACGGCUUACCAAGGCAACGAUGCGUAGCCGACCUGAGAGGGUGAUCGGCCACACUGGAACUGAGACACGGUCCAGACUCCUACGGGAGGCAGCAGUAGGGAAUCUUCCGCAAUGGGCGAAAGCUUGACGGAGCAACGCCGCGUGAGUGAUGAAGGUCUUCGGAUCGUAAAACUCUGUUAUUAGGGAAGAACAAAUGUGUAAGUAACUAUGCACGUCUUGACGGUACCUAAUCAGAAAGCCACGGCUAACUACGUG
rnacentral:rRNA from 1 species